GCCUCGUUCACUGUUCUCUCUCGAUCUGGGGCUGAUUAGAGGGACCGCUGCCACCAGGAUGAAGGGGAUUGGGCUGUUUGGGUUUGUAUGGCUUGCAACCUUUUGGCCUAAAAUGUCUGUGGCCGGAAUCCAUGGUCCUUGCCCAAAAAAAGGAGGAGGCAAUCCCUAAACCUUACCUCAUUUAUAAUUGAGGGCUGAAACUCCCCCUCAUGAAUAUGGAAUCCCUAUUAAUCGCGUGUCACCAUCGCGCGGUGAAUACUUCCCUCCUCCCUUGCAAAA
rnacentral:rRNA from 1 species